rnacentral:rRNA from 1 species
GCAGUCGCCGCGGUAAUACGUAGGUGGCAAGCGUUGUCCGGAAUUAUUGGGCGUAAAGGGCUCGCAGGCGGUUUCUUAAGUCUGAUGUGAAAGCCCCCGGCUCAACCGGGGAGGGUCAUUGGAAACUGGGAAACUUGAGUGCAGAAGAGGAGAGUGGAAUUCCACGUGUAGCGGUGAAAUGCGUAGAGAUGUGGAGGAACACCAGUGGCGAAGGCGACUCUCUGGUCUGUAACUGACGCUGAGGAGCGAAAGCGUGGGGAGCAAACAGGAUUAGAUACCCCUGUAGUCCCUGUCUCUUAUAC